GACGAACCACACAAACGUUAUUCGGAAUUACUGGGCUUAAAGGGUGCGUAGGCGGCGCUAAAAGUUGGGUGUGAAAUCCCUCGGCUUAACCGAGGAACUGCGCCCAAUACUGUAGUGCUUGAGGGAGAUAGAGGUGAGCGGAACUUAGGGUGGAGCGGUGAAAUGCGUUGAUAUCCUAAGGAACACCCGUGGCGAAAGCGGCUCACUGGAUCUUCUCUGACGCUGAGGCACGAAAGCUAGGGUAGCAAACGGG
rnacentral:rRNA from 1 species